rnacentral:tRNA from 1 species
UGGGGCGUCGCCAAGCGGUAAGGCAGCGGUUUUUGGUACCGCCAUUCGGAGGUUCGAUCCCUCCCGCCCCAA